AGUGAACGCUGGCGGUAGGCCUAACACAUGCAAGUCGAACGGCAGCACAGUAAGAGCUUGCUCUUACGGGUGGCGAGUGGCGGACGGGUGAGGAAUACAUCGGAAUCUACUUUUUCGUGGGGGAUAACGUAGGGAAACUUACGCUAAUACCGCAUACGACCUACGGGUGAAAGCAGGGGAUCUUCGGACCUUGCGCGAUUGAAUGAGCCGAUGUCGGAUUAGCUAGUUGGCGGGGUAAAGGCCCACCAAGGCGACGAUCCGUAGCUGGUCUGAGAGGAAGAUCAGCCACACUGGAACUGAGACACGGUCCAGACUCCUACGGGAGGCAGCAGUGGGGAAUAUUGGACAAUGGGCGCAAGCCUGAUCCAGCAAUGCCGCGUGGGUGAAGAAGGCCUUCGGGUUGUAAAGCACUUUUGUUGGGAAAGAAAAGGAGCUGAUUAAUACCCCGUGGUGCUGACGGUACCGAAAGAAUAAGCACCGGCUAACUACGUG
rnacentral:rRNA from 1 species